rnacentral:precursor_RNA from 15 species
CCGGGGACGACGACAACGAAUCCGUACAGUGUAAGCAGUGUUUGAACUCGAUCUUGGAAUAGCUCCCGAUAAGCUCAAUUAACUGUUUGCAGCCGAUGGCAUCUUCUCGGAGAAUCGACGUC